rnacentral:rRNA from 1 species
AACGGACGAGAAGCUUGCUUCUCUGAUGUUAGCGGCGGACGGGUGAGUAAUACGUGGAUAACCUACCUAUAAGACUGGGAUAACUUCGGGAAACCGGAGCUAGUACCGGAUAAUAUUUUGAACCGCAUGGUUCAAAAGUGAAAGACGGUCUUGCUGUCACUUAUAGAUGGAUCCGCGCUGCAUUAGCUAGUUGGUAAGGUAACGGCUUACCAAGGCAACGAUGCAUAGCCGACCUGAGAGGGUGAUCGGCCACACUGGAACUGAGACACGGUCCAGACUCCUACGGGAGGCAGCAGUAGGGAAUCUUCCGCAAUGGGCGAAAGCCUGACGGAGCAACGCCGCGUGAGUGAUGAAGGUCUUCGGAUCGUAAAACUCUGUUAUUAGGGAAGAACAUAUGCGUAAGUAACUGUGCACAUCUUGACGGUACCUAAUCAGAAAGCCACGGCUAACUACGUGCCAGCAGCCGCGGUAAUACGUAGGUGGCAAGCGUGUAUCCGGAAUUAUUGGGCGUAAAGCGCGCGUAGGCGGUUUGUUAAGGUCUGAUGUGAAAGCCCACGGCUCAACCGUGGAGGGUCAUUGGAAACUGGAAAACUUGAGGUGCAGAAGAGGAAUAGUGGAAUUCCAUGUGUAGCGGUGAAAUGCGCAGAGAUAUGGAGGAACACCAGUGGCGUAAUGGCGACGUUUCUGGGUCUGUAACUGACGCUGAUGUGCGAAAGCGUGGGGAUCAAACAUGGAUUAGAUACCCUGGUAGUCCACGCCGUAAACGAUGAGUGCUAAGUGUUAGGGGGUUUCCGCCCACUUAGUGCUGCAGCUAACUGCAUUAUAGCACUCCG